rnacentral:rRNA from 1 species
UACGAAGGGGGCUAGCGUUGCUCGGAAUCACUGGGCGUAAAGCGCACGUAGGCGGAUUGCUAAGUCAGGGGUGAAAUCCUGGAGCUCAACUCCAGAACUGCCUUUGAUACUGGGGAUCUCGAGUCCGGGAGAGGUGAGUGGAACUCCGAGUGUAGAGGUGAAAUUCGUAGAUAUUCGGAAGAACACCAGUGGCGAAGGCGGCUCACUGGCUCGGUACUGACGCUGAGGUGCGAAAGCGUGGGGAGCAAACAGG